rnacentral:rRNA from 1 species
AUGAACGUUGGCGGCGUGGAUUAGGCAUGCAAGUCGAGCGCGAACCGUAGCAAUACGGGGAGAGCGGCAAACGGGGUAGGAAGGAUUGGUGACGUACCCUUCGGACGGGGAUAGCCACGGGAAACUGUGGGUAAUACCCGAUAACCUCCUGGGUUUGAAUACUCAGGUGCAAAGGUGUGAUUCCACCGGAGGAGCGGCCAAUUUGACAUCAGCUAGUUGGUGAGGUAACGGCUCACCAAGGCUACGACGUCUAGGGGGUGUGAGAGCAUGGCCCCCACCACUGGGACUGAGAUACUGCCCAGACACCUACGGGUGGCUGCAGUCGAGAAUCUUCGGCAAUGGGCGAAAGCCUGACCGAGCGACGCCGCGUGCGGGAUGAAGGUCUUCGGAUUGUAAACCGCUGUCAGAGGGGAUGAAGUUAUAGUGGGUUCUCCCAUUAUAUUGACAGAGCCUCAGAGGAAGCACGGGCUAAGUAUGU